UUGCUUUCAUUUCAUUGCAAGAGUUUUCUUUGUACAUGAUGAAGCCUUUUAGUUGUAUUUGGAUUUCCUUGAUCUUUGUCUCUUGGAUCACAGGUUCCAAAUCCAGUAUUACUCUUACACAGCCUGAAUCCCAGCAAGUGGAGCCUUCCAGAUCAAUCACUCUGUCUUGCCAGGUAGAAGGAUUUGAUGUGAAUAGCUACUGGAUGAGCUGGAUUCGUCAGUUACCUGGGAAACCCCUGGAAUGGCUUGCAGCCAUAGGUAGUAAAAGUAAUACAGAAUAUCACUCUGACACUAUCAAAAACCGGUUUAAGGCAUCUAAAGAUUUUUCAAAACAUAUUUUCUUCCUGCAAAUGAAUAACCUGAGAACCGACGACACUGCAGUAUAUUACUGUACUAGAGACUCACAGUAAGAGAAACUCACUGAAGGCCUGUACAAAAGCAUGCUGCAGUGCCAGCUGCAACUUUCUUUUAAGAGUACAAAAAUCAGCAAAUUUAAACUACUCAGUAAAUAAAUAAACCAACCAAAUAUAUACAAUUAGGAUCAACAGGUUCAUACUGGCUAAAUACUUUUUAUUACUUAAGGCAUCAUUAUUAGAAGCUGUGA